GGAGUUUGAUCCUGGCUCAGGACGAACGCUGGCGGCGUGCCUAAUACAUGCAAGUAGAACGCUGAAGAGAGGAGCUUGCUCUUCUUGGAUGAGUUGCGAACGGGUGAGUAACGCGUAGGUAACCUGCCUUGUAGCGGGGGAUAACUAUUGGAAACGAUAGCUAAUACCGCAUAACAAUGGAUGACCCAUGUCAUUUAUUUGAAAGGGGCAAAUGCUCCACUACAAGAUGGACCUGCGUUGUAUUAGCUAGUAGGUGAGGUAACGGCUCACCUAGGCGACGAUACAUAGCCGACCUGAGAGGGUGAUCGGCCACACUGGGACUGAGACACGGCCCAGACUCCUACGGGAGGCAGCAGUAGGGAAUCUUCGGCAAUGGGGGCAACCCUGACCGAGCAACGCCGCGUGAGUGAAGAAGGUUUUCGGAUCGUAAAGCUCUGUUGUAAGUCAAGAACGAGUGUGAGAGUGGAAAGUUCACACUGUGACGGUAUCUUACCAGAAAGGGACGGCUAACUACGUGCCAGCAGCCGCGGUAAUACGUAGGUCCCGAGCGUUGUCCGGAUUUAUUGGGCGUAAAGCGAGCGCAGGCGGUUUGAUAAGUCUGAAGUUAAAGGCUGUGGCUCAACCAUAGUUCGCUUUGGAAACUGUCAAACUUGAGUGCAGAAGGGGAGAGUGGAAUUCCAUGUGUAGCGGUGAAAUGCGUAGAUAUAUGGAGGAACACCGGUGGCGAAAGCGGCUCUCUGGUCUGUAACUGACGCUGAGGCUCGAAAGCGUGGGGAGCGAACAGGAUUAGAUACCCUGGUAGUCCACGCCGUAAACGAUGAGUGCUAGGUGUUGGAUCCUUUCCGGGAUUCAGUGCCGCAGCUAACGCAUUAAGCACUCCGCCUGGGGAGUACGACCGCAAGGUUGAAACUCAAAGGAAUUGACGGGGGCCCGCACAAGCGGUGGAGCAUGUGGUUUAAUUCGAAGCAACGCGAAGAACCUUACCAGGUCUUGACAUCCCGAUGCUAUUUCUAGAGAUAGAAAGUUACUUCGGUACAUCGGUGACAGGUGGUGCAUGGUUGUCGUCAGCUCGUGUCGUGAGAUGUUGGGUUAAGUCCCGCAACGAGCGCAACCCCUAUUGUUAGUUGCCAUCAUUCAGUUGGGCACUCUAGCGAGACUGCCGGUAAUAAACCGGAGGAAGGUGGGGAUGACGUCAAAUCAUCAUGCCCCUUAUGACCUGGGCUACACACGUGCUACAAUGGUUGGUACAACGAGUUGCGAGUCGGUGACGGCAAGCUAAUCUCUUAAAGCCAAUCUCAGUUCGGAUUGUAGGCUGCAACUCGCCUACAUGAAGUCGGAAUCGCUAGUAAUCGCGGAUCAGCACGCCGCGGUGAAUACGUUCCCGGGCCUUGUACACACCGCCCGUCACACCACGAGAGUUUGUAACACCCGAAGUCGGUGAGGUAACCUUUUGGAGCCAGCCGCCUAAGGUGGGAUAGAUGAUUGGGGUGAAGUCGGAACAAGGUA
rnacentral:rRNA from 1 species